rnacentral:rRNA from 1 species
AGCGAACGCUGGCGGCAGGCCUAACACAUGCAAGUCGAACGAACUCUUCGGUGUUUGUGGCGGACGGGUGAGUAACACGUGGGAACGUGCAUUUCGGUUCGGAAUAACUCAGGGAAACUUGUGCUAAUACCGACUGUGCCCUUCGGGGGAAAGAUUUAUCGCCAUUAGAGCGGCCCGCGUCUGAUUAGCUAGUUGGUGUGGUAACGGCUCACCAAGGCGACAAUCAGUAGCUGGUCUGAGAGGAUGACCAGCCACACUGGGACUGAGCCACGGCGCAGACUCCUACGGGAGGCAGCAGUGGGGAAUCUAGCGCAAUGGGCGAAAGCCUGACGCAGCCAUGCCGCGUGAAUGAUGAAGGUCUUAGGAUUGUAAAAUUCUUUCACCGGGGACGAUAAUGACGGUACCCGGAGAAGAAGCCCCGGCUAACUUCGUG